ACGUAUGGAGCAAGCGUUAUCCGGAUUUACUGGGUGUAAAGGGAGCGUAGGCGGUCUUAUAAGUCUGAUGUGAAAGCCCGGGGCUCAACCCCGGGACUGCAUUGGAAACUGUAGGACUAGAGUGUCGGAGGGGUAAGUGGAAUUCCUAGUGUAGCGGUGAAAUGCGUAGAUAUUAGGAGGAACACCAGUGGCGAAGGCGGCUUACUGGACGAUUACUGACGCUGAGGCUCGAAAGCGUGGGGAGCAAACAG
rnacentral:rRNA from 1 species